AGCAGGUUCCGGAAUCCGACGGCUGCCUCUCUGCUCGGAGACCUUGGAGCUGUUUAGCCUCUUCCGAAUUAAUCUUUCUCGUCUAAAAAAGUGAAAAUAAGAUGGAGUGUUUGGAAGGUGCCAGAAGGUUCCGGCAAUGGACUUUUACCGCUACGAGGUGUCGCCCGUGGCCCUGCAGCGCCUGCGCGUGGCGUUGCAGAAGCUUUCCGGCACAGACAAGGAAGAACCGUCACCCUCAGGAGAAUUAGAUGUCUCAACAGAGGAGGAAAUUGAGACCUAUCGGAACUGGAAGCUUACCAGAUGGCAGCACAGAAAACCCUGGCAUUUCUGAAAGAAGCAGGAAGAUCAACAAAUAUGUGUGAUUCUGUAUCAUAUGACUUUGUAUAUCAAGGGAAGAGUGGAUAGUAUCAGAAAAAUCCCUAGAACCCUCAAGUGUGAAAAUGAUUAGACAUCUUGAAUAAUACAAAGCAACACAGCUAGAUCCACAUCAAAAGAGUCAUGAAGACCAAGUGGGUUGAUCCUGGUGAGUACAUUUUGAAAACUGUGAAACACAAAUGGAAGCU
rnacentral:misc_RNA from 1 species